UCAUCUCAGUCUCAGUUUAAUCGCCAAGAGCUGUAGAACGUCUGGCGUUCGUGAUUACAUUUUUUAAAAUUUAUUAGUUCUGUGCCAAUGAAAUGCUGAAUUUUACAAAUGGAAUAGUACUACUUCUAAGUGUAGUGAAACAUCAAAGCGAAUUUGAUACAAAAGUUAAGUUCCCUGAGCUCACAGAUGCAAUAGGUCAAAUUAAAACCGCCAUGGGCGAUUAUUAUGGAAACGCCAAACACAAUGUAGAUACGGCCAUGCGUAUAAAUGAAAAUGCUCGAUCAAUUUACCAGCAAUCCGUUGCCCCUGUAUUCGACUGGUGUGGGGAGGCCAUUGAAAAGUUCAACACUAUCCAGCCCCAUAUAAGGGAAAAUCUUUCAAAAAAAGACAAGGACUUAAUAUGGCAGGUCACUGUAACAACGGUACAUGACGGCCUAGAGAGAACUUCUCAUUCACUGGAAUUAUUAAACGAUGUUCAAAGUAAAUCGUCUAAAGUCAUGAACCUACUUUCAACAAUUUUGCAUGAUACGUACGAUGACUUUGGUCCAAGUGGCUAUUAUGGAAAAAUGAAAAACGAUGCGCAGAACAAAAUCAAUGACUUAGAGCACUCCUUACAUGUACAUGAUGUAUUAUCAUUUGUUCCCUUUGCGAAUAUUGUGAGUGGUAUUAUUGCGAUGACUCAAAAAUACGGCGAACAGAUUAAUGAGUUGAGAAAUCAAAAAUUUGAUAUUGAAUCAAAAUUGGAUCGAAUCAUACCGAAAAUUCAACAUGCUAGCCAAGUAGCAAAAAUGUGUGUUAAUCCAUAUUUGGAGGAGGACAAAACAAACUUGGUUACACUUAGGGGCAAGGCUGGUGCUGUAGACAAUAAUAAUCCACUCUUAACACUCGACAGCCCGACUAUCCGAGCUAUGUUUAUGCCAGUCCUUCAGGAAUUGAUUACCCAAUGCCACAAAUAUACCAUAUGGCAUGGACUUCAACAUUAGGUUUACGAGGAAUCAGAGUUCCAUAUGAAUUUUUAAAUUUUUUUGAUAAAAUUACACAUAUUUCAAUAAAAACAUUUUUAAAUAUUACCUAUUACUAUAUUUUUAACGGCUCACAUGCAUAUAUUUAAAAUAUUAUAACCCUUGCAAGCCCCACCUAAUGAUUUUUAUAUAAACGUAUAUUCUGUCUGAGUUAUAUACAUCUUUCCAGUCGCGAAAUAAUUAUCAGUUCCCAAGUAUGACCUCUCUGACCCUAUUAUGCCGUGGAAAAUAAUAUAAAAACUGGCAUGAACCCACAGAUGAGAUUAAUAUGGAAUUAUUUAUGCUUUUCAAGUAUAUAUGACUGAUAUUGCUACUUAAUUCGUAUCAGUCACAGUUUGAUCCCCAAAACCGUCAGACCAUUCGAAGCGUCUGACUGAAGCCCAACAAUGGUUAAUAUUACCAAUGGACUACUAAUGCUACUAAGUUUUGUACAACACCAAAGUGAGUUCGACAGAAAAGUGAAAUUUACUGAGCUCGACAAUGCAAUCGGCCAAAUUGACAUCUCUAUGAAGGACUUCCCCGCGACACCCAACGACAAACUGAAUGAGGCGCGCAGUUUAAAUGAAGCUGCUCAAUUAAGUUAUCAUCAAUCCGUUAGUCCGCUAGUUGGGUGGUGUAACGUGGCCAUCAACAAUUUUGGUAUUCUCAUUCCCCACAUCAAAGAUGGAAGUCUUUCAAAUCAGAACAAGGACUUCAUAUUCCUUUUAAUUGACAAUACGCUACACGAGGGUCUAGAAAAAACUGCUCAAUCCAUAGUCUUACUAAAUGAUGUUCAACGUAAAUCGUCCAGAGUGGUCAACUUAUUUUAUAGCAUUAAGCACGACGUGUACAACGAUUAUGGAAAACAAAAAGUAAAUCUCGAUGCACAAAUGCAAGAUUUGAAAGAGACCCAGAGUACAUAUAAUACAUUAUCAUACAUUCCAAUUGUUAAUGUUUUCAGUUAUAUUGCUGAUAAAGCUGGGCGCAAUGAAGAGAAGAGACAUCUAUUGAGAGAAAACAUAUUAAAUAUUGAAAACAAACUUAAGCGUAUCAUAGAAAAUAUUAUGGUCGCUACAGAAAUAUCAAAAACAGGCGUGAACCCAAAUUUGGAAAGGGAUGAUACAAAUUUAAGUAGCCUCAGGGGAAAAACUUAUGGUGCGGACAAUACUAAAAAUUUCUUGAAGCUCGACUUUCUACCACUUCGGACUCGUUAUGCUGAUAUCCUACAGGAAUUGACAAAUCAGUGUCGUGAUUAUAAUCUUUGGCAUGAAUCUCGAAAUUAAGAUGAUAGGGUGUCGUCUGGAAGUAAACACUAUUAUGUUCAAACUGUACGAUUAUUGGCUUCGAGUUUCGCGAAUAAAAAUGUUUUUUUCAUUGUUCUAAACGUUCACUUGGAACAUGGAAAAACAAAACCAUU